AAGAAGCAUGCUGUGUGUCUAAACAUGCUAGUCGAACGAGAAAUUCCGAGCACUCGGGAGAGUAAAGUGGCGAACGGGUGAGUAACACGUGGGUAACCUUCCCGGGAGACUGGGAUAACUUGCCGAAAGGUGAGCUAAUACCAGAUAAGACCACGGUCCCCUCGGGGACUGAGGUCAAAGGCGGCUUAAGCUAUAGGCUGCUUCCGCUCCUGGAUGGGCCCGCGGACCAUUAGCUAGUUGGUAAGGUAACGGCUUACCAAGGCGAAGAUGGUUAGCUGGUCUGAGAGGACGACCAGCCACACUGGAACUGAGACACGGUCCAGACUCCUACGGGAGGCAGCAGUGGGGAAUAUUGCGCAAUGGGCGAAAGCCUGACGCAGCGACGCCGCGUGAGUGAUGAAGGUCUUCGGAUCGUAAAGCUCUGUCAGGCGGGAAGAAACGGUCUGGCCUAAAUAAGACCAGGCCCUGACGUUACCGCCAAAGGAAGCACCGGCUAACUCCGUGCCAGCAGCCGCGGUAAGACGGAGGGUGCAGGCGUUGCUCGGAAUUACUGGGUGUAAAGCGCGCGCAGGUGGCCGUCCCAGUCGGAUGUGAAAUCCCUAAGCUCAACUUAGGAAAUGCAUUCGAAACUAGAUGGCUUGAGGGCGGAAAAGGAAAGUGGAAUUCCCGGUGUAGAGGUGAAAUUCGUAGAUAUCGGGAGGAACACCAGUGGCGAAGGCGACUUUCUGGACCGCACCUGACACUGAGGCGCGAAAGCGUGGGGAGCAAACAGGAUUAGAUACCCUGGUAGUCCACGCCGUAAACGAUGGGCACUAGGUGUUCCCGGCUUGCCGGGAGUGCCGAAGCUAACGCAUUAAGUGCCCCACCUGGGGAUUACGGCCGCAAGGCUA
rnacentral:rRNA from 1 species